UAGGAGCAACACGAGGUAACAUCGAUCUUCAGAAGAUCGACAGAAAGAAAAACCUAGCCAAUCUAGUUACUAAAGAUCUCAAAGUCAAGAAGUUCGAUGAUCACAAGUCGAAGAUAGAUAUACGAUACUGUACCGAUUGGCUUUAGUGUUGAAAAAUAUAAGUAAUUUCAUGCAUGUAUUUCAAAAAUUUUUGAAUAAAUUAUAGCAA
rnacentral:lncRNA from 1 species